CCCUGUCUCGAAAGUGGUCAUGGCGUCCUCGUCGCCAGGCCAUUGAUAGAACAGGAAGAUCAACUGAGAGCCUUUCCCGUGUGUGAAGGAUCGGUUCCUAUCACACCCUGAUGCUCUCACACA